rnacentral:rRNA from 1 species
UUGAAAGGAAGAUUAAUACAAGAUGCCAUCAUGAGUCCGCAUGUUCACAUGAUUAAAGGUAUUCCGGUAGACGAUGGGGAUGCGUUCCAUUAGAUAGUAGGCGGGGUAACGGCCCACCUAGUCUUCGAUGGAUAGGGGUUCUGAGAGGAAGGUCCCCCACAUUGGAACUGAGACACGGUCCAAACUCCUACGGGAGGCAGUAGUGAGGAAUAUUGGUCAAUGGGCGAGAGCCUGAACCAGCCAAGUAGCGUGAAGGAUGACUGCCCUAUGGGUUGUAAACUUCUUUUAUAAAGGAGUAAAGUCGGGUAUGCAUACCCGUUUGCAUGUACUUUAUGAAUAAGGAUCGGCUAACUCCGUGCCAGCAGCCGCGGUAAUACGGAGGAUCCGAGCGUUAUCCGGAUUUAUUGGGUUUAAAGGGAGCGUAGAUGGAUGUUUAAGUCAGUUGUGAAAGUUUGCGGCUCAACCGUAAAAUUGCAGUUGAUACUGGAUAUCUUGAGUGCAGUUGAGGCAGGCGGAAUUCGUGGUGUAGCGGUGAAAUGCUUAGAUAUCACGAAGAACUCCGAUUGCGAAGGCAGCCUGCUAAGCUGCAACUGACAUUGAGGCUCGAAAGUGUGGGUAUCAAACAGGAUUAGAUACCCUGGUAGUCCACACGGUAAACGAUGAAUACUCGCUGUUUGCGAUAUACAGCAAGCGGCCAAGCGAAAGCGUUAAGUAUUCCACCUGGGGAGUACGCCGGCAACGGUGAAACUCAAAGGAAUUGACGGGGGCCCGCACAAGCGGAGGAACAUGUGGUUUAAUUCGAUGAUACGCGAGGAACCUUACCCGGGCUUAAAUUGCAGAUGAAUUACGGUGAAAGCCGUAAGCCGCAAGGCAUCUGUGAAGGUGCUGCAUGGUUGUCGUCAGCUCGUGCCGUGAGGUGUCGGCUUAAGUGCCAUAACGAGCGCAACCCUUGUUGUCAGUUACUAACAGGUUCCGCUGAGGACUCUGACAAGACUGCCAUCGUAAGAUGUGAGGAAGGUGGGGAUGACGUCAAAUCAGCACGGCCCUUACGUCCGGGGCUACACACGUGUUACAAUGGGGGGUACAGAGGGCCGCUACCACGCGAGUGGAUGCCAAUCCCAAAAACCUCUCUCAGUUCGGAUCGAAGUCUGCAACCCGACUUCGUGAAGCUGGAUUCGCUAGUAAUCGCGCAUCAGCCACGGCGCGGUGAAUACGUUCCCGGGCCUUGUACUCACCGCCCGUA